ensembl:lncRNA
GUUGAAAGAAUGUUAUCUGUGUGUCCACGGGCAUUGUGCACCGAACUACUAAGCCUUAGCAGGCAGGCUAAGGGGAUCAGUGAAUAGGGCUUUUCUUCUCUUUUGGGUAGAUUACAUUAUGGCAUGGUCAUGAAUCAUUUUUCACUUACUUUAUGAAAGUUGUACCAGGAGUCUUAAAAUUCAGAUUUCAUGCCUUUGGAUACAUUUUUUUGCGCCUCAUAUAAAUUAACUACAGUGCAGAGAACUUGAGCAAACCCUUGAACUCCAAAAACCAGCAGACAUCUGGGUUUGCAAGAGCACCCUUUUUCGUACUAGAUUAAUGAAAUCCAGUGUCAGCAGAUUUGUAACUGAGAUUUUUUUUGCUUAUAUUAGAAAGUGGUUUGUGCUUCUCACAAAGAGACGAGCACAGUUGCAGACCUGCUUGUAUGAUGAGCAGGGAGAAUGUGAGGAACUGAGUGGUGACCUACUAAAAUUAAUAACGGUAGAUUGUUUCCAUUUUUCCUGUGACAGUGUAUGCGAUACUUUAUCAGCUGACUUUUCCCAGUACCAGAGAUGGUGUAACAGUGUCCUGUAACAAGAUCAGUUGAUGUUUUUUGAAGUAUAAGGAGCUCUCAGUCAGAUUCCAUUUGCAUUGGUUUAAUUCUUACUAUAAAUAACCUUCAAACUGAAAGAUUUUGAAAUAAUCCAAAUACCUUCCUGUCAGAAAAUGGCAAAUCAAUGCACUUUGACAGCUUUGACAUUUUUACCAAAAGGAAAUUGAGUGAAAUAAACCCUGUCAACUCAUGUAUUCACAUUAAAAAAAAAAAAAAAAAAAAAAAAAAAAAAAAGCUAAGUUUCUAUUUAAACUUACCUGCUUGCAAUGAUUUAUUUGAUUUAUUUUCUCUGCUGUUAAGGUAAGUUUACUGACUGUUGAACACACACCUCUUUAAUUAUUUAAAUGUCUUUGCACUGAAAACUCAUGCAGAAAGUAGCAUAGGAAUAUCUGCAUCAGCUCCCCACCCCCAUCCUCACAAAUUUCUUCCCUGGUCAAUAGGCACAUAAAGGAGCAGUUGUUGGUAUUUUAAUCACUAUGCCUAAUCCUGUUUGAAGGGGUUUCACUCCAUGGCUCUGUCUUAGAUGCAUAAGCAAAUUCCAUGUGUUCCAUGUUCCAGCAUGUGUUACACAGACGCAAGUGAAGGACCCAAGUGAUGUCUGCUGAGUGUGGCACUGCCCCACAUACCUCCACAAUGAGAUUGUCCACCAGGCUCUGGAGCACAGCAGACUGAGAGAAAGAUGAUGGGAGGGAGGCUCAGCUGCCCCCAGAUUGAGUGCAAGGACAACAGACUGGUGAAUGCAAUGCUGUGAAGUUGUAUGGGAUGAAAAGUAGUACUCCUGGGACCCUGAAUAAUUCUUAGGAUCUCACUGGCCACGAAGUUCCCCAUUUAGGCAUGAAUUCAGCUCAGUGCCACUGAAUUCUUGACACCCAGAGCAAUUGAUAUUGGACUUUCCCCUCUCCUACUGUGUUUGGUAUCAAUGCCUCAUCUAUUUAUGAUAGUGUACGUACAAAAAUAAUCCAAUCUCUGACUCAGAGUGAGAUGCUUCAGAAACUCACAAUAUAUUUUUGCCAUUGCAUGUUUAGAUUCCUGCCUCUUUCAUCACCCACAGCAACAAGCUCCAGUGUGAGUCUUCUCAAAUGAGCAAGUGAGCAUGCUUGAGAGAUUGUUGUGUUUAAGACAGGUUGAAAUUCAAGCUGAAUCAAGCCAAUUUUACUGUCAUCUUUUAACAGAUGUAGAAAUAAAAAACUGUGCAUGAAACACAGGUGAACUAUACGAGGCUGGAUGCUUCUUUUUCAUAUAUAUUUAUGACAUUCGCUAUAUAUCAAAACGGAGAUACAGCGAUAGAUCAGCUUAUUGUAAUAUCUAGGUAUGAAAUAUGUUCCUUUUUAUAAUUACUUAGUUCUAUUUAUCAUUUCAAGGCAGUUAUAUAUGCAGUGACAUCACUAAUUUAAUAGAUAACUGGAAGAGAAAAAUGUUUCUAAUUUCAUCUAAUCAUGAAUACCUCCUGGUUACUCAUCUAGUGACAGCAAAGGAAUAGCAUUAUUUUCUUUUAAAGAUGAGAGAUUCAAUGUAUUCUGACAAAACAUGGCUAGUUUUGCCACACUGAAACCAUCAUUACCAUAUAUAUUUCCAGUCUGCUUUUCCAUAACUGACAGCUCCGAGACGACCUGUGUUAAGAGCAGCCGUAGAUAAUAGCCACAGUAAGGCUACCUUGUGUUGUAUUGAGUUAUCCCUGCCCCUUGUUACUGUGGUAUUCACCCUUUUGUGAAUCAGUAAAAUAAAAUACCUUUAACUGUUGACUGAAGGCUUAACAUUUCUAGAAGUAUCAAGAUUUAACCACGUCUAUUAAAGCCGACUGCAAUGUUUCACACUACCCAAAUGCCUAUUCUGUGCUUUCCUAGUGGUUAAAAAGACCAAGGGAAGAAACAGACAAGUUCCAAUGUACUGAGCUUCCUGUCAUCUGGCUGGAUGAAAGGGCACACUGAUAGAUUGUGAAAUAUAUUUCUUAUAAAUCUUUUAACAAGGAAGGCAGGAGAUGCAAUAGCUUUUAGACUACACUUUAAACCAACUUAGAAGCAAAAUGAAUAGCACAUUUCUGACACAGUAUAAGGAAAGAAAAUGCAAAUUCUGCAAACCUCUGGAUAUUUAGUAAUUCACCCAGCUCUGCACUCUUUUUAAAUGUUGAAUUAACUAUGUACAUGGAAUUCUGAUUAACCUUUAGAUUGCUGCCAACGUUUUUCUACACUUGUGUUUGCUUUGGUUAGAUUUCUGUCAUGGAAAAAAUGUUUCACAUAUCAAAUAUCUGUGUCUGCUAUUAUAAUUUUCUGCAAUUAUCCUAAACUGAGUGACUCCAAAGUGAUUUUGCUACCUGAAAAAUAUGACUUCAAAGUAAAUUUAAUGACAUUUUUAUAGCAGGAAAACAUAAAACUCGGAAGUACAAGUGGCCAACUUGCAACUGUAAAGAAAGUAGAGCAAAUCCCAUCUUCUGAGUACAAGAAAAUUAAUGAUUAAUUGUCAGUAAACAGCCAAUUUUCCAAGGGAGCUGUUCUAGACAUACUAGAGUGCUCUGUUUUUGGUGGAUUUUUUAUUUUUAUUUUUAUUUUUAAUAUGGAAUUGAUUUUCUAAACAGUUGGAUAUGGUCAAUAUUAGCAAUAGCCUGCAUGAAGGCAGCCAUUACAUGGGAUAACACCUACUUUAUGGCAAUACAAGCUUUUGCAUAUGGUAGUUAACUGAGAAACUAAGUUGAAAGGAGAGUGGUGGUGGUGGUGGUAUUAAUUUUUGUUGAUUUGUUGCUUUUGUUAUUUGUAAUGAAUGACCUUAAAGUCAACGUUACUUACACAUUUUUAUGUGCUUUGGGAGUAGGGGAAAGAUGUGAAUAAUCAGCCAUCCUUUUCUUUUUAUUUACUUAAAGGCCAGUAGUUCUGCAACUGGAACAUAUACAGGAUGCAAUUCAUCAACUUAGAUAAGCAUGUGUUUAUUCCCUACUGGAAUUAUUUGCACUGAAAAUUAAACAUGCAUUCAAAGACUUUGGCUGCAUUGGUAUAUAUAAAAGAGCUUUGGUUCUUAAGUAGGAGAUGCCAAGAUUAUUUGAAUGUAUCCUAACUUAAAAAAAUUAGAACUUGAUCUUCAUAUUUUCCCCUAAAGCAAUAGAAUACUGGCCAAUUGAUUAUUCACUGUAGAUGUGAGGAGUAAUGUGAGAUUGUAUUAAAUUCUAAUGUUACUAGGAAGAUUGAAAAAAGUCAUUUCUAACUUAUUAAAGGAAAUACAAAUAUUAAAAUGACGUAGUACAAAAAAUAUCAAAAGAAAAUUAUAUUUUAAAUGUAUUUCACUGCAGAUUCUUUCUCUCAUCCUCUUAUUCAUUGAUAUCCUCCAUCCAACACUAUUUGCUGACUUGGUCCCACUUCCCCUCCCUCUUUCUUUCUAAUAAGCAUAUUGCUUUUCCACACAUUUAGUAUAUAAGUUAAGUGAAAUGAUUGUGUUAGUUAUUGAUGGUUAUAACAAAUGCAUUAUUAUUCACCUUGUUACAGAGUGAAAGUCAGUGUUUUAUAAUGCUGCAACCACUAUUAAUGUUGUAGUGUCAUUCCUUGUAUUGUGUUCUAAUCCAUUUCCACAGAAUAAUAUUUUUUGUUUAUCUCCCAGUUUGUUGUUUUAUUUUACUGUAUAAGUGCUAUGGUUAAAAGAUUAGAGGAAACUUAAUCAGUCAAUAUUUAAAAAAUAAAUAAAUAAAUGAAAAAACAAUGAAAAAAUCCUCUCAUUCCUAUUUUGUGUAAAAUAUGUUCAAUUUGAGGGCUACUUACAGC